rnacentral:rRNA from 1 species
GUGGGGAAUUUUGGACAAUGGGCGCAAGCCUGAUCCAGCCAUGCCGCGUGCAGGAUGAAGGCCUUCGGGUUGUAAACUGCUUUUGUACGGAACGAAAAGACUCUUUCUAAUAAAGAGAGUUCAUGACGGUACCGUAAGAAUAAGCACCGGCUAACUACGUGCCAGCAGCCGCGGUAAUACGUAGGGUGCGAGCGUUAAUCGGAAUUACUGGGCGUAAAGCGUGCGCAGGCGGUGAUGUAAGACAGAUGUGAAAUCCCCGGGCUCAACCUGGGAACUGCAUUUGUGACUGCAUCGCUGGAGUGCGGCAGAGGGGGAUGGAAUUCCGCGUGUAGCAGUGAAAUGCGUAGAUAUGCGGAGGAACACCGAUGGCGAAGGCAAUCCCCUGGGCCUGCACUGACGCUCAUGCACGAAAGCGUGGGGAGCAAACAGGAUUAGAAACCCUGGUAGUCC